rnacentral:snoRNA from 2 species
GUGAUGACACGGCCGUGCGUGAGGGGUGAAGAAGUGUUUCUAGGCUGA